UACAGAGGUCCCAAGCGUUGUUCGGAUUCAUUGGGCGUAAAGGGUGCGUAGGCGGCGCGGUAAGUCGGGUGUGAAAUCUCGGAGCUUAACUCCGAAACUACAUUCGAUACUGCCGUGCUUGAGGCCUGGAGAGGAGACUGGAAUUUACGGUGUAGCGGUGGAAUGCGCAGAUAUCAGGAGGAACACCGGUGGCGAAGGCGGGGUCCUGGGCCAGUACUGACGCUGAGGAGCGAAAGCGUGGGGAGCAAACAGG
rnacentral:rRNA from 1 species